GUGACAAGAAAUAACAAUACAGGACUUUUUGGUUUUGUAAUUGGAAUGAGUUAAGUAUAAACCCCUUUACAAGUAUCAAUUGGAGGGCAAGUCUGGUGCCAGCAGCCGCGGUAAUUCCAGCUCCAAUAGCGUAUAUUAAAGUUGUUGCAGUUAAAAAGCUCGUAGUUGGAUUUCUGUUAAUAAUUUAUAUAUAAUAUUUUAAUUAAUAUUUAUAUAAUAUUAACAUAAUUCAUAUUACUAUAUUAUUUUUAGUAUAUGAAAUUUUACUUUGAGAAAAUUAGAGUGCUUAAAGCAG
rnacentral:rRNA from 1 species